rnacentral:rRNA from 1 species
GUCCACACGGUAACGAUGAAUACUCGCUGUUGGCGAUAUACGGUCAGCGGCCAAGCGAAGCAUUAAGUAUUCCACCUGGGAGUACGCCGGCAACGGUGAAACUCAAAGGAAUUGACGGGGCCCGCACAAGCGGAGGAACAUGUGGUUUAAUUCGAUGAUACGCGAGGAACCUUACCCGGGCUUAAAUUGCACUGGACAGUCCCCAGAGAUGGGAUCUUCUUCGGACCAGUGUGAAGGUGCUGCAUGGUUGUCGU